UACGUAGGUGGCAAGCGUUGUCCGGAAUUAUUGGGCGUAAAGCGCGCGCAGGUGGUUCCUUAAGUCUGAUGUGAAAGCCCCCGGCUCAACCGGGGAGGGUCAUUGGAAACUGGGGAACUUGAGUGCAGAAGAGAAGAGCGGAAUUCCACGUGUAGCGGUGAAAUGCGUAGAGAUGUGGAGGAACACCAGUGGCGAAGGCGGCUCUUUGGUCUGUAACUGACGCUGAGGCGCGAAAGCGUGGGGAGCAAACAGG
rnacentral:rRNA from 1 species